rnacentral:rRNA from 1 species
AGAGUUUGAUCCUGGCCCAGGACGAACGCUGGCGGCGCGCUUAACACAUGCAAGUCGAGCGAGAACCAGGCCUUCGGGCCUGGGGAUAGCGGCGAACGGGUGAGUAACACGUGGGUAAUCUGCCCUCGGCACCGGAAUAGCCCGGGGAAACCCGGAUUAAUGCCGGAUAGCCUCAUGGAGUUUCGGCUCUGUGAGAAAAGGUAGCUUAGGCCUCUGGCCGAGGAUGAGCCUGCGGCGGAUUAGCUUGUUGGCGGGGUAAUGGCCCACCAAGGCGACGAUCCGUAGCUGGUCUGAGAGGACGAUCAGCCACACUGGGACUGAGACACGGCCCAGACUCCUACGGGAGGCAGCAGUGGGGAAUCUUGCGCAAUGGGCGAAAGCCUGACGCAGCGACGCCGCGUGUGGGAAGAAGGCCUUCGGGUUGUAAACCACUUUCAGGGGGGACGAAGCUACUCGGGUGAAUAGCCCAGAGGGUGACGGUACCUCCAGAAGAAGCCCCGGCUAACUACGUGCCAGCAGCCGCGGUAAUACGUAGGGGGCUAGCGUUGUCCGGAUUCAUUGGGCGUAAAGCGCGUGUAGGCGGCCAGAUAGGUCGGUUGUGAAAACUGGAGGCUCAACCUUCAGACGUCGACCGAAACCAUCUGGCUAGAGUCCGGAAGAGGAGAGUGGAAUUCCUGGUGUAGCGGUGAAAUGCGCAGAUAUCAGGAAGAACACCCGUGGCGAAGGCGGCUCUCUGGUACGGUACUGACGCUGAGACGCGAAAGCGUGGGGAGCGAACAGGAUUAGAUACCCUGGUAGUCCACGCCGUAAACGAUGGGUGCUAGGUGUGGGGGGUGUCGACUCCCUCUGUGCCGAAGCUAACGCAUUAAGCACCCCGCC